rnacentral:rRNA from 1 species
CCUACGGGCGGCUGCAGUGGGGAAUAUUGGACAAUGGGGGCAACCCUGAUCCAGCCAUGCCGCGUGUGUGAAGAAGGCCCUCGGGUUGUAAAGCACUUUCAGUGAGGAAGAACGCCUGGUGGUUAAUACCCAUCAGGAAAGACAUCACUCACAGAAGAAGCACCGGCUAACUCCGUGCCAGCAGCCGCGGUAAUACGGAGGGUGCGAGCGUUAAUCGGAAUUACUGGGCGUAAAGCGCGCGUAGGUGGCUUGAUAAGCCGGUUGUGAAAGCCCCGGGCUCAACCUGGGAACGGCAUCCGGAACUGUCAAGCUAGAGUGCAGGAGAGGAAGGUAGAAUUCCCGGUGUAGCGGUGAAAUGCGUAGAGAUCGGGAGGAAUACCAGUGGCGAAGGCGGCCUUCUGGACUGACACUGACACUGAGGUGCGAAAGCGUGGGUAGCAAACAGGAUUAGAUAUCCUUGUAGUC